AAAGUUCCUCCUUUCGUCCCGUUUUGAUGCAGUCAGAAGAAGCUAAAGCAAACUAUCAGCUGCUCAGAUUAAUCUGUAACAAUUUAAUGGAGAAAAACACUUUUUGGGGAUUUAUUUUGGAUUUAAAAGAGACAUGUUAACAAAGGUUUUCUCUAAAACAAGAAGAACAGCAGACAGACAGAAGCUGACAAAAGAAUUUGGUGUGCAUGUGAGGACAAGUGUCUGCGGAGCCAACCAUGGCGAACAAUGCGCAGGAUAUUGAAAACAGCAUGGAGACCAAUGUGUCCCCUGAACCCACCCAGCAGCCACAGGAGCCUGGGGGAGUCAGGGCGCGGUCCAGAGGAGGUGAUGGAGGAGGAGGGGGAGGGGGAAGUAAUG